UGUAAAAUAAGCUAAAUUUAAGCUGUUGGGCUCAUACCCCAAACAUGAACGGCAGUUCUUUUACAA
rnacentral:tRNA from 1 species